AGAGUUUGAUCCUGGCUCAGGACGAGCGCUGGCGGCGCGCUUAACACAUGCAAGUCGAGCGAGAACCGGCCCUUCGGGGCCGGGGACAGCGGCGAACGGGUGAGUAACACGUGGGUAAUCUGCCCUCGGUAUCGGGAUAGCCCGGGGAAACCCGGAUUAAUACCGAAUAGCCCUUCGAGUUCUCGAAUUCGAAGGAAAAGGUAGCUUCGGCCUCCGACCGAGGAUGAGCCCGCGGCGGAUUAGCUUGUUGGUGGGGUAAAGGCCUACCAAGGCGACGAUCCGUAGCUGGUCUGAGAGGACGAUCAGCCACACUGGGACUGAGACACGGCCCAGACUCCUACGGGAGGCAGCAGUGGGGAAUCUUGCGCAAUGGGCGAAAGCCUGACGCAGCGACGCCGCGUGAGGGAAGAAGGCCUUCGGGUUGUAAACCUCUUUCAGGAGGGACGAAGCCACUCGGGUGAAUAGCCCAGAGGGUGACGGUACCUCCAGAAGAAGCCCCGGCUAACUACGUGCUAGCAGCCGCGGUAAUACGUAGGGGGCAAGCGUUGUCCGGAUUUAUUGGGCGUAAAGAGCGUGUAGGCGGCCAGAUAGGUCCGUUGUGAAAACUGGAGGCUUAACCUCCAGCGGUCGAUGGAAACCAUUUGGCUAGAGUCCGGAAGAGGAGAGUGGAAUUCCUGGUGUAGCGGUGAAAUGCGCAGAUAUCAGGAAGAACACCCGUGGCGAAGGCGGCUCUCUGGGACGGUACUGACGCUGAGACGCGAAAGCGUGGGGAGCGAACAGGAUUAGAUACCCUAGUAGUCC
rnacentral:rRNA from 1 species